AUGCAAAUAGAGGAAAACAACAGAAUGGGAAAGACUAGAGAUCUCUUCAAGAAAAUUAGAGAUACCAAGGGAACAUUUCAUGCAAAGAUGGGCUCAAUAAAGGACAGAAAUGGUAUGGACCUAACAGAAACAGAAGAUAUUAAGAAGAGAUGGCAAGAAUACAUGGAAGAACUGUACAAAAAGGAUCUUCACGACCUGGAUAAUCACGAUGGUGUGAUCACCCAUCUAGAGCCAGACAUCCUGGAAUGUGAAGUCAAGUGGGCCUUAGAAAGCAUCACUACAAACAAAGCUAGUGGAAGUGAUGGAAUUCCAGUUGAGCUGUUUCCAAUCCUGAAAAAGGAUGCUGUGAAAGUGCUGCAUUCAAUAUGCCAGCAAAUUUGGAAAACUCAGCAGUGGCCACAGGACUGGAAAAGGUCAGUUUUCAUUCCAAUCCCAAAGAAAGGCAAUGCCAAAGAAUGCUCAAACUACCACACAAGUGCACUCAUCUCACACGCUAGUAAAGUAAUGCUCAAAAUUCUCCAAGCCAGGCUUCAGCAAUACGUGAACCAUGAACUCCCUGAUGUUCAAGCUGGUUUUAGAAAAGGCAGAGGAACCAGAGAUCAAAUUGCCAACAUCUGCUGGAUCAUGGAAAAAGCAAGAGAGUUCCAGAAAAACAUCUAUUUCUGCUUUCUUGACUAUGCCAAUGCUUUUGACUGUGUGGAUCAUAAUAAACUGUGGAAAAUUCUGAAAGAGAAGGGAAUACCAGACCACCUGACCUGCCUCUUGAGAAAUCUGUAUGCAGGUCGGGAAGCAACAGUUAGAACUGGACAUGGAACAACAGACUGGUUCCAAAUAGGAAAAGGAAUACGUCAAGGCUGUAUAUUGUCACCCUGCUUAUUUAACUUCUAUGCAGAGUACAUCAUGAAAAAUGCUGGACUGGAAGAAGCACAAGCUGGAAUCAAGAUUGCCGGGAGAAAUAUCAAUAACCUCAGAUAUGCAGAUGACACCACCCUUAUGGCAGAAAGAGAAGAGGAACAAAAACGCCUCUUGAUGAAAGUGAAAGAAGAGAGUGAAAAAGUUGGCUUAAAGCUCAACAUUCAGAAAACGAAGAUCAUGGCAUCCGGUCCCAUCACUUCAUGGCAAAUAGAUGGGGAAACAGUGUCAGACUUUAUUUUGGGGGGCUCCAAAAUCACUGCAGAUGGUGACUGCAGCCAUGAAAUUAAAAGACCCUUACUCCUUGGAAGAAAAGUUAUGACCAACCUAGACAGCAUAUUCAAAAGCAGAGACAUUACUUUGCAGACUAAGGUCCAUCUAGUCAAGGCUAUGGUUUUUCCUGUGGUCAUGUGUGGAUGUGAGAGUUGGACUGUGAAGAAGGCGAGCACCGAAAAAUUGAUGCUUUUGAACUGUGGUGUUGGAGAAGACUCUUGA
rnacentral:lncRNA from 1 species